rnacentral:lncRNA from 1 species
CAGGAUCCCCCAUUGCUUUGAAGGGCGCUCCUCUAACUGCCGCCUCAGGGAACAGCCACGUGCCAGGAGCCGUGGGCGGGGCCAGCCACUCCAGUACACCGCGCUCGCAGCCAAUAGCCCCGACAGAGUCUGCGAGGCAAGGAGAGGCAAGAUAAGCAUCGAGAUCCCCGCAGGACUGACAGCUGCUGCAGCACGAACUCUGACCAGAAAAUGAUUUUACUCUUUCUAUUUUAGCUUGCGUGCCCUCUCCUCAUGUAUUUCUUUUUGCUAACGAUUCGGGAAAACUUGAUGUUCGUAUGAAUUUCGCGGGUGGACCUCAUGUAGUGGCUUGUGACCAAUGUAUGCUUUCAUCUUGUUUAGCUCCUCAGUACAAUGUUUGCUCUUUUGUGGCGUUGGAACGCCCGCCAUAUCUUAUGAGACCUGUAACUGUAACUACUCACUGGUACGGCAAUUAUGGUCUUGCUAUGUUGUAGCAACUGCAGGAUUUGAUGGGAACGCGACGAUUUGUGGGCUUACUUAUUUUAGUGAAAGAUGCAAAGCUCCAUAAAGACCAGAAGUUAGAGCGAAGCACAUCUUGGAAGAUGAGCAAUUUCACCUGCAGGCCCUCCUCAAGUCAGCCAGAGGAGACAGACAAAACUGGAAAAUUCCAGAAUCAUCCCAUUCUACAAUCUUCUUCAAUAAUAUAUUGAUGUGGCAUGGAAGAAUCACCUGUUAGAGUGGCGUCUUGGAGUGGCCAUUUCCAUUAUCUGUGUUUAUUGACCACUCAUAGCUUCCCACGUGUGGGAGGAGGAGUGACUCAUCUGAUUGUUCAGGGAGAAUCCAGGACAAAACGGAAGAUCUGGGGCCUUUCCACCUGCCUCUGCUUCUCACUCUCUCUCUCUCUGUCUCUUUCUCUCCCUUCCACCCUUUUUUCUCCCUUCCUCCCUUUUCUCCUCCCUCCCCUCUCCUCUCCUCUUCACUUCUCUGCCCAGAAACUGCUGAGUAAAUCAGUCUGUCCCUGCCCUAUCUGUCCAUCUGUCUUCAAUUUCAGGUGAAAGCCAGAAAAGAGAAUAUUCCACCUUUUUUAAUAAAACCAGAGACCUUGAACUUUGGUGAAUAAAAGAGACUCACUGGGCUAUUUAUAAAGGUUCCCAC